GAGUUUGAUCAUGGCUCAGGAUGAACGCUAGCGGCAGGCUUAACACAUGCAAGUCGAGGGGCAGCACGGUGUAGCAAUACAUUGGUGGCGACCGGCGCACGGGUGCGUAACGCGUAUACAAUUUGCCUUAUACAGGGAGAUAGCCCGGAGAAAUUCGGAUUAAUAUCCCAUAACACUGCGCUAUGGCAUCAUAGUGCAUUUAAAGCUACGGCGGUAUAAGAUGAGUAUGCGUCUGAUUAGCUAGUUGGUGAGGUAACGGCUCACCAAGGCGACGAUCAGUAGGGGGCCUGAGAGGGUUAUCCCCACACUGGAACUGAGACACGGUCCAGACUCCUACGGGAGGCAGCAGUGAGGAAUAUUGGUCAAUGGAGGCAACUCUGAACCAGCCAUGCCGCGUGUAGGAAGAAUGCCCUAUGGGUUGUAAACUACUUUUAUUUGGGAGAAACCCCCUUACGAGUAAGGGGCUGACGGUACCAAAGGAAUAAGGACCGGCUAACUCCGUGCCAGCAGCC
rnacentral:rRNA from 1 species